UGGGGAAUAUUGGGCAAUGGAGGAAACUCUGACCCAGCAACGCCGCGUGAAUGAUGAAGGUCUUCGGAUUGUAAAGUUCUUUUCUGAGGGACGAAGAAAGUGACGGUACCUCAGGAAUAAGCCUCGGCUAACUACGUGCCAGCAGCCGCGGUAAUACGUAGGAGGCAAGCGUUAUCCGGAAUGACUGGGCGUAAAGGGUGCGUAGGUGGUUCAGCAAGUUGGCAGCGUAACUCCGGGGCUCAACCUCGGCACUACUGCCAAAACUGUUGGACUUGAGUGCAGGAGGGGCAAUCGGAAUUCCUAGUGUAGCGGUGGAAUGCGUAGAUAUUAGGAGGAACACCAGUGGCGAAGGCGGAUUGCUGGACUGUAACUGACACUGAGGCACGAAAGCGUGGGGAGCAAACA
rnacentral:rRNA from 1 species